rnacentral:rRNA from 1 species
CAGUAGCCACGGUAAUACAGAGGGUGCAAGCGUUAAUCGGAAUUACUGGGCGUAAAGCGCGCGUAGGUGGUUUGUUAAGUUGGAUGAGAAAUCCCCGGGCUCAACCUGGGAACUGCAUCCAAAACUGGCAAGCUAGAGUAUGGUAGAGGGUGGUGGAAUUUCCUGUGUAGCGGUGAAAUGCGUAGAUAUAGGAAGGAACACCAGUGGCGAAGGCGACCACCUGAACUGAUACUGACACUGAGGUGCGAAAGCGUGGGGAGCAAACAGGAUUAGAUACCCCUGUAGUCCCUGUCUCUUAUAC